UGUAUAUUUUUAAAAUGUUAUCUAUUUUUACGUGUAACGUUAAUCCAAAUAAUGUAAUGCAAUUGAAAAAUUUGGUUUAAUUACCAAAUUCAUUUCUCAAUUUAAUAAUCAUAACAGUGGAUAUAUGAGGAUAACUGCAGUGUCCACUACCAUGCAUUACAUAUCAACAGGUGUAGAAUUAAUUUUGUCAUUGUAGGAAACACAAACAAACAAAAACAUUAUGUGUAAACUUUGUGUUACAGAAAGUUCAAGUCUGGGUGGCCAGAAGUUACAUUUCAGUGACCUGGUUACCGCCUCUCUCUGCAAACACAAAGGAUCACUUUCCUCAGCGGAUCUACCCCAAUCAUCAUUAACGGGACCCCAGUGGAGAGAGUGAGCAGCUUCAAAUACCUUCAAAUGCCCUGCAAAGAGUAGCUGAGCACAUGUCCAGAACAUCUCUCCUCUCUCUGCAAGACAUCCACACCAGGAGAUGUAAAUCUAGGACUGUUAAGAUCCUUAAAGACCUCACCCACCCUGGAAAUCCACUGUUUAAUCUGCUACAGUCAAGCAGACGCUUCUGCAGUCUGAUGGCAAAGACGGAGAGGCUCAGGAGGAGUUUCUUCCCUCAUGUUAUCAGACUGCUAAACAUGGACAUUAAACACACUGCACUUUAUAGACUGGUUGUUUAGGGCUACCCAAUAACUCUCUGCACACUGCACUUUUUUGACAACCUAACUAUGCAACUCAUCCUCGCUGCACAUUGUUUACAUCUCUACAAAUCAUCUGUGUAGCAGUUUAAUACAGUAUAUUGUGUAUAUUUCAUUAUUUGUAUUUAAAUAUCUCCAAAAAAAAAAACUUUUUAUUUUUUUCCUGUUGUUUCAUUAUUUGUAUUUAAUUUUCUCUUAUUUUUUUGCACAGUCUAAAAAGAGUAUGCCAGACUUACAUUUCACUGCUUUUUGCAUGUCAUAUAUCAAAUAAAACUUGAAUUUUUAUUGGUGUGGAGUGUUACCUGUGAUUGAGUUGGUGAUAAAAAGGAGAUGGGGAAAAAAGUGUCUUAAAUUGGACUUUGGUACCAAUAAUAUUUUCCUCUUAAGUCUUGGAAUUUUUUUUAUUAUUAUUAAUUCUUGUAUUACUAUUUAGAUUUUUUUUCUUCUUUUUUAAAUUAAAUGUUUAUUUGUAAAAUU